AUUGGUGGAUUCUGUUCAAUAUUUAUAAUUAUCAAUUAUCAUAGGCAAUUAGAUUCGAAACUAUUUAGUCUUCUGGAAUGUGUCCACACGGUUUAUCUCGCUCCUUGUAUUUAUUUAUCCUCUCAGACACGGACACAUCAGCUUGAAUUGGUAGUCAGUUCUGGAGCAAUCCACUGAUUUAUUUGUAAUAUUCUGGUUGCAAUGUGCUUGCUGUAUUUCCCUUCAGGGACAAACACACUUACAGGCUCUACUAAUAUAAAAACACUUUGUGAAACAUCUACACAGAGCACGUAUGGUGGUUCAAACAAAUGGUCCUGUUUGUAAUCACAUAGAGCAUAUUUGAGUGAUACCUCAUGAUGUACCUGUGGGAUGUGUUUGCUGGUGUGAAAUUACAAUAUAAUCAAUGUACCUUUUCCAAAAAAUAUAAAUAUAUUUCUUUGUCAGUUCAGAAAAAUCAAGGACACAUACCUGCAGAAGGUAGAAACUUAGCCAAGUUCAAAGUCAAAUAUUUGAAUUAAAAAUGUGCUCAGAUCUCUUUUUCUGGUUAUUUAUUGUAUACUACAUGUUUUUAUCCCUCUACAGUAACAGCUAGAUACAAAAUCCUACUCAGUCUAUAAAAUGAUACAACAGGAGAUAAACAGUAGAUGUAACAUUCUCAGCAUUUGGUGAACUAAGGUGCCUUCAGAAAGUAUUCACACCCUUCACCUUUUCCACAUCUUGUUGUGUUAGCAUGAAUUUAAAAUGGAUUCUAUUUAGAUGUUGGGUCCCUGGCCGACACACAAUACUGCACAAUGUUAAAGUGAAAUAUUUUUGGGGGACAUUUUUACAAAUUAAUAAUUUUUAAAAAGCUGAAAUGUUUUGAGUCAGUAAGUAUUCAACCCCAUUGUUAUGACAAGCCUAAAUAAGUUCAGGACCAGAAAUUUGCUAAACAAAUCAAAUAAUAAAUUGCAUGGACUCACUCGAUGUGCAAUAAUAGUGUUUGACAUGGGUUUUUUUUUCUCUACACAUACAAUUAUCUGUGAGGUCCCUCAGUCGAGCAGUGAAUUUCAAACAACCACAAAGAACUGGGAUGUUUUCCAAUGCCUUGAAAAGAAGGGCACCUAUUGGUAGAUUGGUAAUACAUUUAAAAAACAGAUAUUGAAUAUCCCGUUGAGCAUGGUGAAGUUAUUCGUUUUUUUCCAAUUGCUAACACACUAAAAUGACAUGCACAGCACAAUUAUUUAAACUGACACACAGAGAGCAAAACCUCUUCUCAAGUCUCUAAAAGUCUAAACACAUUUUCUGCUUUACACACAUUUUGCAAUUCAAAAUGGCACUUUUUAAAUGCACUUCACACGGUUCUCUGCAUAAGACACAACAAUCUGACAUAAAGUCACAUGUUUGCCAUUUCAAAACACAGCCAUUCAAAAUGACACUACAUGAGCUAAUUGGCCAAUAAAUGUGCCACCUGGUCAAACACCUCUGGUUAAAUGUUACCACUUCAAUCAGGAAGUAAGCACUAUGAAAAGACCACAGGUGAGCACAUUUUGUUUUACAACAACAAUGGAAGCCGUUGCAGAGAGAGGAAGAGGGAGGUUGAGAAUGAAAGGGGGAGGAAGAGUGAGAGGUAGGGGUAGAGCUGGUAAAGGAGUUCAUGGCCAAAGAAGACAACAACUUUCAAAUGAAAUCAGAGCAACCGUAGUUGAUCAUGUCAUCAACCAUGGGCUGACAAUGCGAGAGGCUGGACAGAGUGCAGCCCAACUUGAGCCGUUUUACUGUCGCCUGUGUCAUCCGGACAUUUAGACUGGAGUACAGGACUGAGAGACGCAACCUUUGUGGAGGAUGAUGUUCACUGGGGUACAGGAUGCUGCCAUUGUAAACUUGGUUUUGGAAAAUGAAAUCAGAUUACAAGAAAUUCAAAGCCACAUCAUCCAAGACAACACCAUAUUCAACAACAUUCAACGAGUCAGUCUGUCCACAUUGGCUUGCAUUCUCAAGUGAAACCAAAUCAGAAUGAAACAACUUUAUAAGGUGUCAUUUGAGAGAAACUCUCAAAGAAACAAAGAGGUCAGACGAGCAUAUGUGGAUGGAGUACUGGAAAUGGAUGCUCAUGCAAUCCCACAUGAGUUCAUCUUUAUAGAUGAGGCUGGGUUCAACCUAGCAAAGACCAGAAGAAGGGGGGGGGGACGUCAUUGGCCACAGAGCCAUUAUAGAUGUUCCUGGCCAACGUGGUGGGAACAUCACAAUGUGCGCUGCCAUCUCCAAUACGCAUGGUGUCCUCCACCGUCAUGCCAACCUUGGACCAUACAACACAGCCCAUAUUCUCACAUUUCUGGACAGACUCCACAACAUUCUCAUACCACCAGAGCUGAAUGAUGCAGACCAUCAAAGAACCCGGUACGUUGUAGUAUGGGACAUGAGCUUUCAUCGUGCAGCCCCAGUCCAAAACUGGUUUGCUGACCACUCACCAUUUCUCGUGCAAUACCUCCCACCAUACUCACCAUUUCUGAACCCCAUAGAAGCAUUGUUUUCGGCAUGGCGGUGGAAGGUAUACGACCGGCAGCCCUUUGUGUGCAGGCCUCUUGUGCAGGCUAUGGAAGAGGCAUGUGAUGAGAUUGAUGUGGGUGCAAUUCAGGGAUGGAUAAGGCACUCAAGGUGCUUCUUCCCUCGAUGUCUGGCAAGGGAAGAUAUUGCCUGUGAUGUGGAUGAGGCGUUGUGGCCAGAACCAGCUGUGCGGCAAGAUGCUGCCUAAUUAUUUUUCUUGCCUUUUCUUUUUCAGUUUACUGUUUUUUUUGUGGUCAUAUUUUGGUUCAGUCCAAUGUAAAUAUAUCUGCUGUGCAUAUGUUGCACUGACUUGUUUGGUGAAAAAUAAAAAUAAAUAU